rnacentral:rRNA from 1 species
AUACGGAGGGUGCGAGCGUUGUUCGGAAUUACUGGGCGUAAAGGGCGCGCAGGCGGCUUGAUAAGUCAGAUGUGAAAGCCCACGGCUCAACCGUGGAAGUGCAUCUGAAACUGUCUGGCUUGAGUACUGGAGAGGAAAGUGGAAUUCCUGGUGUAGAGGUGAAAUUCGUAGAUAUCAGGAGGAACACCGGUGGCGAAGGCGACUUUCUGGACAGAUCCUGACGCUGAGGCGCGAAAGCGUGGGGAGCAAACAGGAUUAGAUACCCCGGUAGUCC